AUCCUGGGUUCAGCUUCCCCUGUGAGAAGGACACAUAUAACAAUAAGAAAUUAAGGGUUCGGGAAGGAGAGGGGCCACCCUGUGCUCACCCCCACACAGCCCUGCAGGAAAACCCAGUGAACGGUGCCCAGGUGCCUGGCUGACUCCUGGGCCGGGAGGGGACAUGGAGGGACAGUGGCCAUCAGGCUCUUUGUGGACACUGGGGAUUAACUACUGCUCGUUCUCAGCUCACUGGUGUCCAGCCCAUCAAUAACCUCAUCAAUAACCUAACUUUGGUCAAUUAGGUUGGAGUCCGAAGGUGACUGAUUUGCGGCAAGGUUUUCUCUCUUCCUCUGUAAAGUGGAGUCCUUCAUCAUUCAUCGCAAGUAGACAACUCGCUUCCUAAUGCCUCUGCAUUAAGGAGCCAGGCGCUGCAGCUCUUUGGUACGUGACCUCAAAUAGAUUCAUGCGUCCUUCUGCUGACACGGUGGCAGAGGAGAGGGAAGGGUCGCGCCUGGUGGGGGCCUGAGAGCCACCGGGCUGCGGUGCGCGAGUGUGGACACCGCCCCGCCUUCUGCGUCUACAGCCCUGGGUUCUGGGACCUUUGGAAACCGCUUUGGACGAAGCUGAGCAUCUCUUUCCCCACGCUGACCUCCCCCAUAGACUCCGGAUGGGAGUAAAUGAGGCUCCUGGGAAAUCCAGAAACUCUAGAGAAGCUUGUUUGCCAAACCUUGCUUUGGGCGGUGGAGACAGAAUAUCAUGUCCCAGAUCAGCGUGUGGUGACUGUGGAGGCAUUUACACACAGCACACUCCAGCUCUGCCACUGGGCCGGCUGAGGUGGCUGCGGUACACGGCGCCCAUCCUGAGCCCCAGGUUCCUCACAUGUCAACAGCAUGAAAAGUGCCUCUAAGACAUCCACAGGUGUGCAGUGUUAAAGCAGGCAGCGCCUCAGCUUGGUUAGCUCCCUUAAGGACUGCGGCUCCCUUAGGACAAGGCUCUGUCCCUCAGAGCACUGAGUGCGAUCUCAUGCUGGCAUCUUAGAGACAUUGUAUUCACCAGGAGGCAGACAGUAAACAAAACAAGCAAGUCAAUAUACAGCAUGAUGCAGAAAAGGUGUGAUGCCACCCUCUUGCCUGAGUUUAUAACAAGCAGAUGAUGUUGUCCUAAGAAUUAAUUUCAGCCGGUGAAAGAGUACAGGCAAAAAACGUGGUCUCGGACUUUCCGGUGAUGCUUAAGAACAUAGUUGCAGUUUUUGUUCUGAUUCUUUGUGCAUCUCGCGCUAAUGAAGGAUUCUGCCAUGAUUGCCACCUCUGGAGACGUCACAGCCAGCACAGCCAUGACCAGGGAUGAACUUGGCCAUUGUCCAGCAGCACCAUGGGAGGACCAGCUGCUGUAAGUGAAGGUCAUCAUCCAUCUGAUUUGCUGGCUUUUUGCAACUACUGCGGUGGAAGUCUUAGAGUAGCCACCUUCUCUGUACUCAGACCUUCACUUCGCCAGAUGUCAGCACAGCAGUGUCAGCAGCUUCGUCAAACACAAACACCACCACCUCUCUGGAUCAGAAGCACAUGGAAAGCCCACCUUGCAAGAAGACCCAGCUAUUCCAAAAGUACCCAUAUCCCUGUAGCAUCCUCUUAGCUGAAUGUCUCUACUCCUUAAACUUGUACCACUUUGAAGAGUAAAAAUUUAAAUUCAUUCA
rnacentral:lncRNA from 1 species